UACAUCACACAAGUAAGCCGAGAGUCGACUCCAGUGAUGGAGGGGUGGCCAGAGCGCUGCCCCGGAGAGCGGACA
rfam:Rhodococcus sp. CTA-806 NODE_14_length_194583_cov_4.83013_ID_27, whole genome shotgun sequence.